UCUUAGGGUAGAUUCACAAAUCUCAUUUUCCCCAAAAUACCAUUCUUCGUUCCAAGGAAACCCUAUCUCCUUCAUACCUUUCCCCGUGAAGUUCAACUAGCGAUUUCUCCUCUCCCUUUCCCUACGCCCUAGUAGAUCGACUCUAUACAAAGAGAAUUUGAAGAAAUGAACAUGAAUUUUUGCUUGGGUCCUUAAGAUUCUGUGAAAAUGGACUCAGGUGACGAUUAUUCGGAAAUCAGAAUCAUGUAAUUCAGCUACUGAUGCUGAGAAAACGGGUUCAGGGGCGGACUCACGUUGGUUCCAGGGUUCACCCGAACCCCCUCGGCAAAAAAUUACACUGUAUAUAUACGUUUGAGGACGUGGAAGUUCAGGAACCACGUCUCAGCCAGAAAAUACAACCAAUAGGGAUUACCGAGGUAUCUCUAGAGACGGGAUAAUCAUGUACUUCAAGAGAAGGGCCUCUACAAACAGGACAAGAUGUUCCAAGAACAAAUGGUUGCUAUCAUGACUAGAAUGCAAUAGGAACAAGGUUCUUAAAUAAUGGGGCUGCCCAAGGAUAAGCCUGAAGGCGUGCAAUGAAGUUUUUAGAUCAAAUGUGUGUAUGCAUAUAAUGUCACCUAUGUAAUAUGUAGUAUGCAAUUGGCUUUCUAGUAGUGGACUUAUAAUAUUCAGCUUGAGGAUGCUUUUGCAGUUUGUAAAAUACUACUGCUUUUAAUAGUUAUAUAUCAAUUUUAGAGAAUUUUAUUGCAUGGAAAA